rnacentral:rRNA from 1 species
CUAAGCCUACGGGGGGCAGCAGUGGGGGAUAUUGCACAAUGGGGGGAACCCUGAUGCAGCGACGUCGCGUGGGUGAAGGAGCGUUUCGGCGCGUAAAGCCCUAUCGGCAGGGAAGAAGGAGGACGGUACCUGACUAAGAAGCCCCGGCCAACUACGUGCCAGCAGCCGCGGUAAUACGUAGGGGGCAAGCGUUAUCCGGAUUUACUGGGUGUAAAGGGGGCGCAGACGGCAGCGCAAGCCAGGAGUGAAAGCCCGGGGCCCCACCCCGGG